rnacentral:rRNA from 1 species
GACGGAGGAUGCAAGCGUUAUCCGGAAUGAUUGGGCGUAAAGCGUCCGCAGGUGGCAGUUCAAGUCUGCUGUCAAAGACUGGGACUUAACUUCGGAAAGGCAGUGGAAACUGAACAGCUAGAGUAUGGUAGGGGCAGAGGGAAUUCCGGGUGUAGCGGUGGAAUGCGUAGAGAUCCGGAAGAACACCGGUGGCGAAGGCGGCCUGCUGGGCUAUGGCUGACACUGAGGCGCGACAGCGUGGGGAGCAAACAGG